rnacentral:rRNA from 1 species
UUAAAGGGUUUUCCGUAGGUGACCUGCGG